rnacentral:rRNA from 2 species
GUACCCCAAACCGACACAGGUGGUCAGGUAGAGAAUACCAAGGCGCUUGAGAGAACUCGGGUGAAGGAACUAGGCAAAAUGGUGCCGUAACUUCGGGAGAAGGCACGCUGGUGUGUAGGUGAAGUCCCUGCGGAUGGAGCUGAGACCAGUCGAAGAUACCAGCUGGCUGCAACUGUUUAUUAAAAACACAGCACUGUGCAAACACGAAAGUGGACGUAUACGGUGUGACGCCUGCCCGGUGCCGGAAGGUUAAUUGAU